rnacentral:rRNA from 1 species
AGUCAAGCUACUAAGGGCGCGCGGUGGAUGCCUUGGCGCUAGAGGCCGAAGAAGGGCGUAGCUCGGCUGCGAUAAGCCCGGGGGAGCCGCCAAGCAGGCUGAUCCCGGGAUUCCCGAAUGGGGAAACCCAUCCCGCUUAAUCGCGGGAUACCGCUGGCUGAACACAUAGGCCAGAUGGAGGCAAGUCGGGGAACUGAAACAUCUAAGUACCCGGAGGAAAGGAGACUAUUCCCCUAGUAGUGGCGAGCGAACGGGGAACAGCCCAAACCGGACUGGCUUAACGGACUCGGGUCCUAUGCCUGACCGGGGUUGUGCGCAACCGUGUGAGACCUCCCGUGAGGGUCUCGCGGAGUUACAAAUCGAUUCCCAAGCCAAAGGCUAUGGAAAUAGCCGCCAUAGAGGGUGAUAGCCCCGUAGGCGAAAGGGAUAGGCUCCGUGCAUGGUUGUCGCGAGUACCACGGGACACGUGAAAUCCUGUGGGAACCUGGGGAGACCACUCUCCAAGGCUAAAUACCUCUAGCGACCGAUAGCGAACUAGUACCGUGAGGGAAAGGUGAAAAGUACCCCGGGAGGGGAGUGAAAUAGUACCUGAAACCG